CGGAAGGAUCAUUACCGAGUGUAGGGUUCCUAGCGAGCCCAACCUCCCACCCGUGUUUACUGUACCUUAGUUGCUUCGGCGGGCCCGCCAUUCAUGGCCGCCGGGGGCUCUCAGCCCCGGGCCCGCGCCCGCCGGAGACACCACGAACUCUGUCUGAUCUAGUGAAGUCUGAGUUGAUUGUAUCGCAAUCAGUUAAAACUUUCAACAAUGGAUCUCUUGGUUCCGGCAUCGAUGAAGAACGCAGCGAAAUGCGAUAACUAGUGUGAAUUGCAGAAUUCCGUGAAUCAUCGAGUCUUUGAACGCACAUUGCGCCCCCUGGUAUUCCGGGGGGCAUGCCUGUCCGAGCGUCAUUGCUGCCCAUCAAGCACGGCUUGUGUGUUGGGUCGUCGUCCCCUCUCCGGGGGGGACGGGCCCCAAAGGCAGCGGCGGCACCGCGUCCGAUCCUCGAGCGUAUGGGGCUUUGUCACCCGCUCUGUAGGCCCGGCCGGCGCUUGCCGAACGCAAAUCAAUCUUUUUCCAGGUUGACCUCGGAUCAGGUAGGGAUACCCGCUGAACUUAAGCAUAU
rnacentral:rRNA from 1 species